rnacentral:RNase_P_RNA from 1 species
UGAGCUGUUCAGGCGGUCGCGAGUAGAGAUAUUCGAGGAACGUCCGGGCUCCACAGGGAACGGCGGUGGGUAACACCCACUCGGGGCGACCCGCAGGAAAGUGCCACAGAAAAUAAACCGCCGCAAGGUAAGGGUGAAAAGGCGAGGUAAGAGCUCACCGCGACAUUGGUGACAGUGUCGGCAUGGUAAACCCCGCUGGGAGCAAGAUCAAGCAGUGUGCAAUGAGGUAUCCCGCUGAGCAUACGGGUAGAUCGCUGGAGCGAGUCGGUAACGGCUCGCCUAGAUGGAUGGCCGCCGCCGCUUUAAGCGGCACAGAACCCGGCGUAUCGAGCAGCUCAUUCC